rnacentral:rRNA from 1 species
GACGAACGCUGGCGGCGUGCUUGACACAUGCAAGUGGAGCGACGAACCAGGGCUUGCCCUGGGGCAGAGCCGCGAACGGGUGAGUAACACGUGGGUAACGUGCCCCAAUGAUCGGGACAACCCGGGGAAACCCGGGCUAAUACCGGAUGUGCUUCCCUCACACCAGUGAGGGAUGGAAAGGAAGCUUCGGCCUCCGCAUUGGGAUCGGCCCGCGGCCCAUUAGCUUGUUGGUGAGGUAACGGCUCACCAAGGCUGCGAUGGGUAGCUGGUCUGGGAGGACGAUCAGCCACACUGGGACUGAGACACGGCCCAGACGCCUACGGGAGGCAGCAGUGGGGAAUCUUGCGCAAUGCGCGAAAGCGUGACGCAGCAACGCCGCGUGGGGGAAGAAGGCCUUCGGGUUGUAAACCCCUUUCAGGAGGGACGAAGCGUGGGCGGUUAAUAGCCGAUCCACGUGACGGUACCUCCAGAAGAAGCCCCGGCUAACUACGUGCCAGCCGCCGCCGUAAGAC